GCCGUUUCCCUUUAUAGCACCAUUGAAUCCGAGUCCUAAGAGAAGUGCUGUGAAUCUUGUGGCCUCAUUCUGAACAAAAGGGAUUAGGGAAGAAAAAUCUCUUGAUAUAAGGCUUGUAAGCAAGGGCGGGCAAUCUUGGUUGUGAAUAUUUUCUGAUUUUUCCAGAAAUCAAGCAGAAGACUGAGCUGCUGAUGUCAGUUAACUCUGAGAAGUCGUCCUCUUCAGAAAGGUACAGCUACAGCUCUUGCAUGAACAAUUAAUGGUGUAGCAUUGCUAAGGAACAAACAGGACUUAUCUUUUUCCUUGUCAAGUUUGCUAUGUAACGUAUUGUACUGCAUGCUAGCGUUGUGCUGUAUUGAAGAUGUGUAUUUGGGCAAGCUGUUCUGCUUUGCGAAGGGAAAUUGAUUUUUUUAGAAAAACACUCAGUCUAAUCAGUUGCAGCAUGCGCACAUAACACAGCAGACCUCUGGCUCAAGUGAGGCAGUGCUGAAAGCUUAAAAAAUAAUUUAACC
rnacentral:lncRNA from 1 species